rnacentral:rRNA from 1 species
UACGUAGGGUGCGAGCGUUGUCCGGAAUUAUUGGGCGUAAAGAGCUUGUAGGCGGUUUGUCGCGUCUGCUGUGAAAAUCCGGGGCUCAACCCCGGACUUGCAGUGGGUACGGGCAGACUGGAGUGUGGUAGGGGAGACUGGAAUUCCCGGUGUAGCGGUGAAAUGCGCAGAGAUCGGGAGGAACACCCGUAGCGAAGGCGGCACUCUGGGCCGGUACUGACGCUGAGGAGCGAAAGCGUGGGGGGCAAACAGG